rnacentral:rRNA from 1 species
CGGAGGGAUCAUUACCAAGAAGGCCCUCUUCGGAGGGAUCUCUUCACAAACACCGUGAACCUAUUUACUUUGGUUUUCUUUGCUUCGGCAGGUACUCUUCUGUCCCUGCCGGAGCACUGGAACCUCUGUGGCUCUGGAAAGCAAACACUGUUUUUAUAUCUGAGCAAAAACCAUUUCUCAAUGAGAGUUACAACCUUCAACGAUGGAUCUCUCGGCUCCGGCCUCGAUGAAGAACGCAGCGAAAUGCGAUACCUAAUAGGACUCGCAGACCCCCUCAGUGAAUCAUCGAGUUUUUGAACGCACAUUGCACCCGCCAGUAUUCUGGCAGGUCUGCCUGUUCGAGCGUCGCUUUACACCCCUCGGGAACAUACCCGGCGUUGGGGCAUGCGGUAGCGGUUCUGCCGCCCGCAGCCCUCAAAUAAAGCGGCGGUUCCGCACGGCCCCGGCCUGUACGCAGCAAUUUUACUUCGUACGGGACGGGUAGCUGGUGGACCACGACCUUCUAUUUUCAGGGGAAGCGCGAGAGCGCUGACCCAGCUAUAGUCGACCUCGGAUCAGACAGGGUUACCCGCUGAACUUAAGCAUAUCAGUAAGCGGAGGAAAAGAAACCAACAGGGAUUGCCUUAGUAGCGGCGAGCGAAGCGGCAUCAGCCCAGAUUUGAAAUCUGGCUUCCUUCUGGAGGUCCGAGUUGUAAUCUGCAGAUGGAUUUCUACGGGGGCGUCGGUGCCGUCCAAGUGUACCUGGAACGGUUUGCCAUAGAGGGUGAGA